AUUGAACGCUGGCGGCAUGCUUUACACAUGCAAGUCGAACGGCAGCGCGGUCUUCGGCCUGGCGGCGAGUGGCGAACGGGUGAGUAAUACAUCGGAACGUGCCCAGUAGUGGGGGAUAGCUCGGCGAAAGCCGGAUUAAUACCGCAUACGACCUGAGGGUGAAAGCGGGGGAUCUUCGGACCUCGCGCUAUUGGAGCGGCCGAUGGCAGAUUAGCUAGUUGGUGGGGUAAAGGCCUACCAAGGCGACGAUCUGUAGCUGGUCUGAGAGGACGACCAGCCACACUGGGACUGAGACACGGCCCAGACUCCUACGGGAGGCAGCAGUGGGGAAUUUUGGACAAUGGGCGAAAGCCUGAUCCAGCAAGGCCGCGUGUGUGAUGAAGGCCUUCGGGUUGUAAAGCACUUUUGGCGGGAACGAAAAGGACUGUGCCAAUACCACGGUUCGAUGACGGUACCCGCAGAAUAAGCACCGGCUAACUACGUG
rnacentral:rRNA from 1 species